ACCUGGCUGGCUCAGUUGGUAGAGCACGUGACUCUUGAUCUCAGGGUUGUGAGUUCAAACUCCAUGUUGGGUA
rnacentral:tRNA from 1 species